AUUUUAGCAUAAGUAUGCCCUAUGCAAUAUUUGGGACAUACUUAUACUAAAG
rnacentral:pre_miRNA from 1 species